GUUGGAAAUAGAGAGACAGUUAGUGCAGUGGGUUCUUAUGUGAGGGGAGGUAGAAGAGAUAGAGACAGGAUAAAAUAAGACUAAGAAGAUUAAUCAAAUGUUGUCUACAUAUGGUUAUGAGGAAAGCUUAGAACGGAACUGAAUAAUUAAGAGUUUGAGAAAACAAGAUGUCACAAAACAGGAACUCUCCUGAAAUGCAAACCACUAAAUUGUUUGACUUGAGACCACGUUGCUCCAAUAACACUGGAAUGAGUAAGAGUUGAGCUGGGUUUUCUAAGAACAAGCAGGUGUCCCAGAAAGUUAAUUUUCAUUGCUUGGGGUUGAUGUUCAUGAGCUGCCUUAUGACUCUGGGUGACUGUCACAGGGACAAGUACAGGCAAGCAUUGCUAGUCCUAUCCAAAUUACCUUCUCUCUUCCUCUCCAAGUGCUGGGUGCUUCCUCCUAUCCUUCCUCUC